rnacentral:lncRNA from 1 species
AUUUUCUUCUGAAUUUUUCAGACCCAAGCUAAUUAGGAUUCAAGGCUGAUAUUUUCAUUAACUAGUAAUUCAGCUAUGAAGAUAAAUUAUCAGAAACCUCUUGAUUAGCUGGUAACAUAAGAGAGUAUGAAUUCUUAGUCUAUACUUGAUAUAUCUCGACGCGUUCCUGCUUGAAAUCAGUCAGCUACUAUAAUUUAAAUAGUCAUCCUCAUAUAAGAAGUGCUGCAUACAAAAGUUGGUUCCAAUUGUUUGGCAAUCCUGGAAGGCACCAGUGGUUGCAAUAUAUACUCGAAUAGAUUCCACCAUAUUUCGUAGGGUGAGCAUCUUUUCUUAGCUGUGAGAGAGUCUUGACAUCUAGCAGGUAAAUUGGUCUCUUUACUGUACUCAAUACUCUGUUGACAAUGGCUGCAGCUGGCGGCAACCGUGCUAGAUAGGCUGAUCCUUUGGUUGUUGCACCCCUACACAGUUUGAUUUUGAACCUCAUACCUGGACCCUGUUUCACGUAUUUAAGGUGAUUUUGAGCAAUGGAAUUUCCCGGCUGUUAAGUAAAAAGCUUUGAUCCUCUACAUUAGGCUGUCCAUGAUUAUUCUGAACAAGUGUGUUUUUCAACUCUAGGUCAAAUCUUCUAUAAGGAUAAAAUGCAAAGAGAAAAAUUAUCCCUUUGUUAAAGAGUAAUGCUAUUUAGUA